rnacentral:rRNA from 1 species
GAAUUCACUAGUGAUUCAGGCCUAACACAUGCAAGUCGAACGGCAGCACGGACUUCGGUCUGGUGGCGAGUGGCGAACGGGUGAGUAAUAUAUCGGAACAUACCCAGUAGUGGGGGAUAACUAUCCGAAAGGAUAGCUAAUACCGCAUACGAUCUGUGGAUGAAAGCAGGGGAUCUUCGGACCUUGUGCUAUUGGAAUGGCCGAUAUCUGAUUAGCUAGUUGGUAGGGUAAAAGCCUACCAAGGCGACGAUCAGUAGCUGGUCUGAGAGGACGACCAGCCACACUGGAACUGAGACACGGUCCAGACUCCUACGGGAGGCAGCAGUGGGGAAUUUUGGACAAUGGGGGCAACCCUGAUCCAUCAAAGGCGCGUGAGUGAAGAAGGCCCUCGGGU